UACGAAGGGAGCUAGCGUUACUCGGAAUUAUUGGGCGUAAAGCGUGCGUAGGCGGCUUUGAAAGUUGGAAGUGAAAGCCCAGGGCUCAACCCUGGAAUUGCUUUCAAAACUUCAAGGCUAGAGUAUCAGAGAGGAUAGUGGAAUUCCUAGUGUAGAGGUGAAAUUCGUAGAUAUUAGGAGGAACACCGGUGGCGAAGGCGACUAUCUGGCUGAAUACUGACGCUGUUGCACGAAAGCGUGGGGAGCAAACAGG
rnacentral:rRNA from 1 species